GAGUUCAAGAGUACGUGAAACUGUGUGGUGGUAAACGGAGCGGUUCUCGAAGUUUCUGUGGGGAACUCAGCCUUGGUGACUGGCUGUCGUGUCGUAUCGGAUCAGCAAUGACCGUGCGGCCCGCCAGGCUGGUCUCUCGGGUGCAUUUCCCCCGCAGUUUACGACAGGAACUGUUUGGACUGGAUCAAAGGCCCUGGGUGAAGUUGUUGGUACUGCUGGCAGCCCUGGGUGCCCUGGCUCCGGACCAGACAGGUAUUUGAGAGGACUCGUAUAGCGAGCAAUGCUCUGUUGCGGUUCUCAUCUCUCUGUCGAGUAGGUCGGCGGCCGCUCCGACCCGUCUUGAAACACG
rnacentral:rRNA from 1 species